GUUACAUUAAAUUCCGGCCAGCUUCCUCGUUGAUGAUCAAAUUGGAGAGGAGUUUCGCCGGGCUAGGAACUGACCGCCCGCCUGUCCUUUGACCAAUUCUGCUCCUAAUUGAUAACAAGCACGUGAACAGCAUUGAUGGGAAGAAAGGGGUGGGAUUAAAGGGACACUGUUUUACCUUAUUCACCUUCACAGCGCACCUCCAUGCACUUGGAACACCUUUAGGGUUUAUUUUAUUGUAGUCUAUUGUGGUGUAUGGUUUAUCUGUUUAACCAAGCAUAAUCCAACCAUUCUCUCUCCUCACGGCUCGCCGCUCUGCUGUCUAUUACUUUGACACCAGAUCUGACCUCGACCACCACAGACCCCAGUUGAUAUUCUUUGCUUUGGGGGAAAUCAUCGCUUAUCGCUCCUGGAGACCACGACGGAGAACGGGCAACCUCCAGAGGAAAGUUUAAGCAUGAGUACGAAAGGCGAUGACCACAACAACAACAAUAACGAGGAAGAGGUCCGCACACUUUUUGUCAGUGGUCUUCCUAUGGAUAUUAAACCACGAGAGCUAUACCUACUAUUUCGGCCUUUCAAGGGGUAUGAAGGGUCACUGAUCAAACUCACUUCAAAACAGCCAGUUGGUUUUGUAACAUUUGACAGCCGAUCUGGAGCUGAAGCAGCAAAGAAUGCAUUAAAUGGUAUUCGAUUUGAUCCUGAAAAUCCUCAAACUCUCAGGUUGGAAUUUGCGAAGGCAAACACGAAGAUGGCCAAAAGCAAGCUAAUGGCUACACCCAAUCCCACAAACAUGCACCCUGCCUUGGGAGCACACUUCAUUGCACGGGACCCCUAUGACCUUGCAGGAACAGCACUCAUCCCUGCAUCUCCAGAGGCCUGGGCUCCCUAUCCACUGUACACAACAGAACUGACCCCUGCCAUCCCACAUGCUGCGUUCACCUACCCUGCUGCUGCUGCUGCAGCUGCUGCACUUCACGCUCAGGGGUCAGAGGCUUGUGGUUGUGCAGGAUAAACUUCAAGCAAGAAUGGAUUAUUAAAAGAAAUCAAUGCGCUGGUAUCCUCCGUCUGAAGCUUCUCCGCAAGGAUGGAAGUCCCGUCAGUUUUGCUAAGUAUUUAACUACUCCAAUUCAACGAUUAGCAUUUCUCCGUGGAGCAAUAGUCAAGGACAGACUGGAUUUUGUUUUGAGGGUCAUUGGUUGAAGGAGAUGUUGAACAACUGCUUCAUUUUCCUCUGCACUGGAGCAGUCACUGGCCUGUGGAUUAAAGAACUUUUGGUGAACUUUCAGGUGGGAGAACCUGUAAGCUGUCAGUCUGAUCAAUCCAUCUGGUGCAAGGACCAACUACAAAAAGGCACCACUGCUGUGAAAUUUCAGAAUUUAAGGUUGACAUUGAUGGAACUGAAUUACAAAGACCAAUGUGGAAUGCUGGUGGUCGUCUUGUAAAAUUUUCGUUUUGUAAAUGUCUCCAUCUAGUUUCGCCCACAUCCCCAUUCUUGUCCUUUCUCCCUCACCUGUCCACAUUCCUAUUGAUCAUGUGUAUCCAACAUGUGAAGAUGGUUCUGCAAAGCGCAAUUACUCUCCCAAUUUGUAACAUUCUUCAGUGAAGGGGCCUCCUCGACACUGCUGUUGGAAGGCUUGGUUUAUUUUUAGGAUGUCCACCUGUAUAUUGAAGUUCUCGCAGUCUCUGUUCCAUUGCCCUGGCUAGUUACUGUGCCUCCUGGAGAACCAAUCUUGCCAAAUAUCAGCUGUUCCUGUUAAAAGUAUUUUGAACAAUAUUGAGUACAAGUAUUUUUGUACUGGUGUAAUGAAGAAUAUUUAUGCAUCAAGGAUUUUUUGUGCAAUUAAAAUUGUAAUCUGUAUUAUAACUUAAUGUUAGUUCAGUUGAGAUUGGAAAUGCUGAAUAUAGCUCAAUGGUAGUUUAAAAGUGCAAUUGUAUUGUGUUUUUUGCUUACUUUUGCUGUUAAGUACUUAAAGUAUUAGAAGUGUGAUUGCAAAGCUUGUACAAGGACUGCAAGAUUUUGAGAUGCAAUUUGCUGUUCCUUCUAGAAUGUGAAACUCAAUUAUAAAAGAUGAUGAUAAAAAAC